rnacentral:rRNA from 1 species
UACGGAGGGUGCAAGCGUUAUCCGGAUUCACUGGGUUUAAAGGGUGCGUAGGUGGGAAUGUAAGUCAGUGGUGAAAUCUCUGAGCUUAACUCAGAAACUGCCAUUGAUACUAUGUUUCUUGAAUUUUCCGGAGGUCAGCGGAAUAUGUCAUGUAGCGGUGAAAUGCUUAGAUAUGACAUAGAACACCAAUUGCGAAGGCAGCUGGCUACAGGGAUAUUGACACUGAGGCACGAAAGCGUGGGGAGCAAACAGG